rnacentral:lncRNA from 1 species
GGAUGUUGAAAGCUGUUUUCGAAAAGACCCCCUGUCCUGACUGGGAGAAGAUACAAGAGUUAGCGGCAAAGCUAUGUUUGGAUGAGUGCGUGAUCAAGACUUGGUUUAAAAACCAGCGUGCCAUGAAAAGGAAACAACAGCCAAGGGGUCACCAGUGCCACCCCAGGGAGUCGCCACCACAACCAGGAUCAGAGCUCAGCGCACCUUCGCAGGAAGAUCACGGCCCUGAGAGCUCCCAGGCGCAUGGCCCCGAGGCUGCCGAAGACCCGCUGCCCGCCGAUCUGCACAACAUCCAUCUGGACUCCUCAGCGCCCUGGGCUUCGCUUCCUCAUGACAUCGGGGAGCUCAUGCGCAUGUACCGCUUGUUCGAUGACGACGAACCAGACGACUAGCAGAUAUUUGAACCCCCCAGACUUCAAGGGCUGAAUUUUUUCCAGUCCUAGAAAAAAGAAAAAGGACGAAGCAGUCUGUAGGAGCCCCUGCCGGCGAUCUGGAGACAGCCCUGGAGGGACCACUCCUCUGCCUUGUUCUUUACAAAAGCAAACGUGCAGGUAGUUUGGGGGGAUAUCUGGGCUGGUCGGAGGCAUCACAGCCUGGAGGUUGGUUUUCUGUAGUGUGUGGACCUUUCAUAACGGUGAACUUAGAUACUUGAGAAGCUUUACAUAAGAGGAUUUAUGGGGUUCCUGAGGACAGUCAGGCGGGCCUCGUGACCUCCUAGCAGCCUUGGACAACAGCCACCACCAGAGUCCGGGGUCGCCACCACCGUGGAGCGCCAGGGGGCGCCAUCAUAGACAACGCGCAAGCCGGGCCGUGGCUGGAACUCUGCCUUUCAAAUCAAUCAACACAUCUGUACCAAAGAGUGUUUUUUAAAGAUUGAUUUUCUUGUUACCACCACAGUCACGCUAAUUAACAUACCACCUCCUCGAUUUCUUACGAUCUUUUUGAAGAAAGAUGAUUGUCUUUUCAGUUUUAAAGAUUGGAUUGAUUGGGGCCGGCUCUGUAGCACAGUGGGUUCAACCUCCAGCCUGCAGCGCCUACAACCC